AUUGAACGCUGGCGGCAGGCCUAACACAUGCAAGUCGAGCGGAUGAGAGGAGCUUGCUCCUCGAUUCAGCGGCGGACGGGUGAGUAAUGCCUAGGAAUCUGCCCAGUAGUGGGGGACAACGUUUCGAAAGGAACGCUAAUACCGCAUACGUCCUACGGGAGAAAGUGGGGGAUCUUCGGACCUCACGCUAUUGGAUGAGCCUAGGUCGGAUUAGCUAGUUGGUAGGGUAAAGGCCUACCAAGGCGACGAUCCGUAACUGGUCUGAGAGGAUGAUCAGUAACACUGGAACUGCGACACGGUCCAGACUCCUACGGGAGGCAGCAGUGGGGAAUAUUGGACAAUGGGCGCAAGCCUGAGCCAGCCAUGCCGGGUGUGUGAAGAAGGCCCUCGGGUCGUAAAGCACUUUAAGUUGGGAGGAAGUGCUUACAGCGAAUACCUAUGAGUUUUGACGUUACCGACAGAAUAAGCACCGGCUAACUUCGUGCCAGCCGCCGCAGUAA
rnacentral:rRNA from 1 species